rfam:Legionella spiritensis strain Mt.St.Helens-9 Lspi_ctg035, whole genome shotgun sequence.
CCCGCCACGCCUCUUCACAAUGCGAACCACGGCGGGU